GAUCAUGUUAUAGUAAAUAGUAUUUAUAAAGGAUCAGAGUGAACGCAUGGGUUUUCAAAAGCAGAAACUAAUUUUCAAAUGCUGGUUUAGGUUUUAAAAUCCUCUGUAUGUUUGUUUUUCAAAUAUAUGGCAGCAAUAAACAAAAAUACAACGCCUACUAAACAAAAAGAAAGCUUUGCUCCACAACGCCUACUAAACAAUACAAGGCACUAACGGAUGUUGGGUGGCUAGCCCCCUUACCAACUGCAAAAUAGAAAGAGCAAAAUUCUAUUCAAUAUAAAUUGUGGAGCGGAUUAUUGCUCCAUAAUACACACAAAAAUUACAUUUUCAAACUGCCCAAAAACAUUCUAUCAGUUGUUGGGAAACAUAUUUUACAUUAUACAUAAUACCCUAGAUCUGUCCCAAUAUACAGGAUCGGUUUAAUUGGUAAGUAAAGGAUAAAGUUAUACGUUUUUCUGUUGAGCACUUUCAGAUCUGCUUUUACAGUCUCUGGUCAAGACACAAACUGAAAGAAACUGGAAGAGAUGUUUCUCAUAGUGAAAAUAUAUGUAUAUUUAAUUGAGUGAUGAGUCACCCCAUCACAUGUCUAGUGGCUACUCUGUAAUGUUGUAAUAACUGUCUAGCAAUCUGUCCCGGAUAAAUUCGAUUGAACUUUAAUGUCAUAUUUGUAAUGAAAAAUCAAUUUUCUAAAGCUUAAAUGCCAAUGGAGACACGUGCUCCCAUUUUUUGCCCCGUCAGUUGGAUUCCAAUAGUUACUGAAUAAAGAACAAACUACAAAGACAGAAGUCACUGAUAUAUUGGCAUUGCACCUGAUCCUGCUGUUUUAAAGUAUAAAAUGACUAGUACAUCAAAUGCCGUGUCUCAAUCAGUGUAAAUAGACAUAUCUUUCUGAUUAAAGACUCUGAGAACCAGAUUACUCUUUCAUUCAGCUCUAUACUAGAGAUGUCGCGAACCGUCCGCAAACCGUUCGCGGCGAACUCCGGUCAGCUGACACAUCCCGGCCAAUCUCCAGCUGCCUUCAACAUGGAUGCUGUCCAGGAAGUAGGAGGCUCUGGGAGGGAGGGUCUGCUGG